rnacentral:ncRNA from 1 species
AGCGAAGUGCAAAUUAGCAAUCUGCACGUUUAGCCGCCAUGGUUUUAACGGAUAUAGCCGAAGUACAGGAUGACCGCCUCGUAAGCCGUUAUGUAAAUCCCGAAA